rnacentral:rRNA from 1 species
UACGUAGGGAGCAAGCGUUGUCCGGAAUCAUUGGGCGUAAAGAGCUCGUAGGUGGUGUGUCGCGUCUGCCGUGAAAGCCCGGGGCUUAACUCCGGGUCUGCGGUGGAUACGGGCAGACUAGAGGCAGGUAGGGGAGAACGGAAUUCCCGGUGUAGCGGUGAAAUGCGCAGAUAUCGGGAGGAACACCGGUGGCGAAGGCAGAUCUCUGGGCCGUAACUGACGCUGAGGAGCGAAAGCAUGGGGAGCGAACAGG